UACGUAGGUGGCGAGCGUUGUCCGGAUUUACUGGGCGUAAAGGGCGUGCAGGCGGUUUGUUAAGUGCAGGGUGAAAGCUCCCGGCUCAACUGGGAGAGGUCCUUGCAUACUGGCGAACUCGAGGGAGGCAGAGGAAAGUGGAAUUCCCGGUGUAGUGGUGAUAUGCGUAGAUAUCAGGAAGAACACCCGUGGCGAAGGCGGCUCUCUGGAACGCAACUGACGCUGAGACGCGAAAGCGUGGGGAGCAAACAGG
rnacentral:rRNA from 1 species